UACAGAGGGUGCAAGCGUUAAUCGGAAUUACUGGGCGUAAAGCGUGCGUAGACGGUUAUGUAAGUCAGAUGUGAAAGCCCCGGGCUCAACCUGGGAAUUGCGCUUGAAACUAGCGGGCUUGAGUGCGGCAGAGGGGGGUGGAAUUCCACGUGUAGCAGUGAAAUGCGUAGAGAUGUGGAGGAACACCGAUGGCGAAGGCAGCCCCCUGGGUCGACACUGACGCUCAUGCACGAAAGCGUGGGGAGCAACAGG
rnacentral:rRNA from 1 species